GUACACAUGCUCAGUCGUGUCUGACUCUUUGUGAAUGUGGAUCUGGUGCUCUGGGGUGUGUGUGUGUGUGUGUGUGUGUGUGUGUGUGUACACAUGCUCAGUCAUGUCUCUUUGUGAAUGUGGAUCUGGUGCUCUGGGGUGGGUGGGUGUGUGUGUGUGUACACAUGUUCAGUCGUGUCUGACUCUUUGCGAAUGUGGAUCUGGUACUCUGGGAUGUGUGUGUGUGGGUAGUGUGUGUGUGUGUGUGUACGUGUUCAGUCGUGUACAACUCAUUGCGACCCCAUGGACUGCAGCCCGCCAGGCUCCUCUGUCCAUGGGAUUUCCCAGGCAUCAAUACUGGAGUGGGUAGCCAUUCUCUUCUCCAGGGAAUCUUCCCAACCCAUGGAUUGAACCUGUGUCUCCUGCAUUGCAGGUGGAUUCUUUACAGUCUGAGCCACAAGGGCAGCUGCUGGCGCUCUGGAGAGGGGUUUAAAUUGCCAACUCCCUCCGGUCAUCUUCACGGAUGUCCAACAGGCAUUUCAAAUUCAGCACCUCUAAAAUUCUCUCUCUCCAUCUCCACCCCCUCAAUUUUUCUCCUUCUUGUGGUCCCAGUGCUAAUCACCAGCAGGAAAUCUACUGAGUGGCCCAAACUUGACUUCUCAUCUUUUGUAGCCAGUCUCCCAGGCCUCUUCAUCCUACCUCCUAAGAAGCUACUAAACACAUCUCUUCCUUUUAGAUUCACAGUCAGGGCUUAGUCUAGGCCUUCAGAGGCAAAACCAUCCUUGUAUCUACCCAUUCUAAUCUUUUACACCAUUGUCUGAACUCUUUGUAUAACAUGCAAAUCCUCCUGCUAAUGCAGGAGACAUGGGUUCAAUCCCUGUGUUGGGAAGAUACCCUGGAGGAGGAAAUGGCAACCAGUCCAGCAUUCUUGCCUAGGAAAUCCCAUGGACAGAGGAGCCUGGUGGGAUAUAGUCCAUGGGGUUGCAAAGAAGUGGACACAACUCAAUGACUAAACAACUUAACCUUACCUCAAGACUCUCCACAAAUGUCACCUCCUCAGUCCAUGGGAUUUCCCAGGCAAGACCACUGGAGUUUGUUGCCAUUUCCUUCUCCAGGGAUCUUCCCAACCCAGAGCUCUAACGCUGGUCUCUUGAGUCUUCUGCAUUGGCAGGUAGAUUCUUUACCACUGAGCCACCAGGGAAGCUCGGAUAAUAGGCUCAGCUUCUGUAAAAAAAAAAAUCUCUCCUAAUCACAGGCUCAGGUGCUAUGCUACUCCCAAAUCCAUAGGUGCCAUCGUGCUUAUACGCAACAAAACCCUGAAGACUCCUGGCGGCUCUCAGGGUUCCUACCAAGAAGAACAAGGAGUGCCAUUUAUCACAAAUAGCUCCUUGGUCCCUGGCCUAGGAGGCACUAUCCCAGAAACAUGCAGAGAAGGCUGAAUUUCCCCUAAGUACCAUUAGGUUUUCAUGCCCUGUUCUGGGAACAGAGAAGUGAGCGUGAGAGAUCAUGAUGAUUGUGAGCAACAGAAUGGAUUUUAAUGUGUGGUCUGGGAAAGCAGCUGCAAUACUUUAUAACCACUUCUUGCACAAACACUCUCACCACAGAAUGAGAGGGACCUACCACUCUCUAGUCUAGACUCUCAGGGUUAGUAAUGUACCGUUAUCUAUAUACUCAUUGGUCAUCACUGAAUACGUAUACCUCGUGUAUCCGACCCCAUGGUAAUUCAUUGCAUUCACUUGUCU
ensembl:lncRNA